UGGGGAAUAUUGCACAAUGGGCGAAAGCCUGAUGCAGCGACGCCGCGUGAGGGAUGACGGCCUUCGGGUUGUAAACCUCUUUCAGUAGGGACGAAGCGCAAGUGACGGUACCUGCAGAAGAAGCACCGGCUAAGUACGUGCCAGCAACCGCGGUAAUACGUAGGGUGCGAGCGUUGUCCGGAAUUACUGGGCGUAAAGAGCUCGUAGGCGGUUUGUCACGUCGCCUGUGAAAUCCUAGGGCUUAACCCUGGACGUGCAGGCGAUACGGGCUGGCUGGAGUACUACAGGGGAGGCUGGGAUUUCUGGUGUAGCGGUGGAAUGCACAGGUGUCAGGAAGAACAACGACGGCGGAGGCAGGUGUCUGGGUAGUAACUGACGCUGAGGAGCGAAAGCAUGGGUAGCGAAGAGG
rnacentral:rRNA from 1 species